rnacentral:rRNA from 1 species
GACGAACGCUGGCGGCGUGCUUAACACAUGCAAGUCGAACGGAAAGGCCCUGCUUUUGUGGGGUGCUCGAGUGGCGAACGGGUGAGUAACACGUGAGUAACCUGCCCUUGACUUUGGGAUAACUUCAGGAAACUGGGGCUAAUACCGGAUAGGAGCUCCUGCUGCAUGGUGGGGGUUGGAAAGUUUCGGCGGUUGGGGAUGGACUCGCGGCUUAUCAGCUUGUUGGUGGGGUAGUGGCUUACCAAGGCUUUGACGGGUAGCCGGCCUGAGAGGGUGACCGGCCACAUUGGGACUGAGAUAAGGCCCAGACUCCUACGGGAGGCAGCAGUGGGGAAUAUUGCACAAUGGGCGGAAGCCUGAUGCAGCAACGCCGCGUGCGGGAUGACGGCCUUCGGGUUGUAAACCGCUUUCGCCUGUGACGAAGCGUGAGUGAAGGUAAUGGGUAAAGAAGCACCGGCUAACUACGUG